rnacentral:rRNA from 1 species
CAGCCCUUGACAUCCCGGUCGCGGUUAGGAGAGAUCCUAUCCUUCAGUUCGGCUGGACCGGUGACAGGUGCUGCAUGGCUGUCGUCAGCUCGUGUCGUGAGAUGUUGGGUUGAGUCCCGCAACGAGCGCAACCCUCGCCUCUAGUUGCCAUCAUUCAGUUGGGCACUCUAGAGGGACUGCCGGUGAUAAGCCGAGAGGAAGGUGGGGAUGACGUCAAGUCCUCAUGGCCCUUACGGGCUGGGCUACACACGUGCUACAAUGGUGGUGACAGUGGGCAGCGAGACCGCGAGGUCGAGCUAAUCUCCAAAAGCCAUCUCAGUUCGGAUUGCACUCUGCAACUCGAGUGCAUGAAGUUGGAAUCGCUAGUAAUCGCGGAUCAGCAUGCCGCGGUGAAUACGUUCCC